CUAUUUUUUGUAUUUUUAGUUGACACGGGGUUUCACCAUGUUAGCCAGGCUGGUCUCAAACACCUGACCUCAGGCAAUCCUUUCACUCUUCCCAUUCCCCUGGUGUUUUUAUAGUAACCUAGCAUCCUGAGCUACCACCUUUUUUGCUGGCACCAAAGGAUCAUUUAUAAUCAGCCCUCCACUUGUUCUGAAAUGUGCCCUACAAUUCAUAACACAACAGACAGUGUGUAAGUUUAACAGGACUCGAAGCAUUUCUUAUCUUGAAUUAAACUCACAUGUUCAGAGGAGUGAAAAUAUCAAGAAUUGUGGUGUUGUAGGAUUCAGCUUUCAGCUUCACAACUAAUAAAAAGAACAAACUGUUUUCUGGAAUCUUGGGAGUCAGCCUAACCCUCUUUCCAUCCUUCACUUUCCCCUACUGCAUACACAGUGAAGACUACAACUGAUAAGGGAUACAGCCACAUCCACGAAAGGAAAGUUUCAGA
rnacentral:lncRNA from 1 species